rnacentral:rRNA from 1 species
ACGUAGGGAGCAAGCGUUGUUCGGAUUUACUGGGCGUAAAGGGCGCGUAGGCGGCAAAUCAAGUCAGCUGUGAAAUCUCUGAGCUUAACUCAGAACGGUCAGCUGAUACUGCUUUGCUAGAGUGCGGAAGGGGCAAUCGGAAUUCUUGGUGUAGCGGUGAAAUGCGCAGAUAUCAGGAAGAACACCUAUGGCGAAGGCAGCUCUCUGGGACGGUACUGACGCUGAGACGCGAAAGCGUGGGGAGCGAACAGGA